GUGACAGCCGCCGCGGUAAUACGGAGGGUGCGAGCGUUGUCUGGAAUCACUGGGCGUAAAGGGCGCGUAGGCGGCGCGGUAAGCGGGCGGUGAAAGCCCGGGGCUCAACCCCGGGUCGGCCGUGCGGACUGCCGCGCUGGAGCACUGUAUAGGCGGGCGGAAUUCCGGGUGUAGCGGUGGAAUGCGUAGAGAUCCGGAAGAACACCGGUGGCGAAGGCGGCCCGCUGGGCAGUGGCUGACGCUGAGGCGCGACAGCGUGGGGAGCAAACAGGAUUAGAAACCCCGGUAGUCC
rnacentral:rRNA from 1 species